UGCAAUACAUAAGCGGAGGAAAAGAAACCAACAGGGAUUGCCUCAGUAACGGCGAGUGAAGCGGCAAAAGCUCAAAUUUGAAAUCUGGUACCUUUGGUGCCCGAGUUGUAAUUUGAAGAUAGUUUUCUGGUGCUGGCCCUUGUCUAUGUUCCUUGGAACAGGACGUCACAGAGGGUGAGAAUCCCGUCUGGCGGGGUGUCCAGUGCUUUGUAGAUUUCUAUCGACGAGUCGAGUUGUUUGGGAAUGCAGCUCUAAGUGGGUGGUAAAUUCCAUCUAAAGCUAAAUAUUGGCGAGAGACCGAUAGCGAACAAGUACAGUGAUGGAAAGAUGAAAAGAACUUUGAAAAGAGAGUGAAAAAGUACGUGAAAUUGUUGAAAGGGAAGGGUAUUAGAUCAGACUUGGUGUUUUGUGAUUAUCUUCCCUUCUUGGGUUGUGCACUCGCAUUUCACUGGGCCAGCAUCGGUUCGGGUGGUAAGAUAAUGACAUUGGAACGUGGCACUACCUUCGGGUGGUGUGUUAUAGCCCUUGUUGAUGUUGCCUACCUGGACCGAGGACUGCGGCUUUUGCCUAGGAUGCUGGCGUAAUGAUCUAACACCGCCCGUCUUGAACCGGG
rnacentral:rRNA from 1 species